AAAUUGAAGAGUUUGAUCAUGGCUCAGAUUGAACGCUGGUGGCAGGCCUAACACAUGCAAGUCGAACGGUAACAGGGAUCAGCUUGCUGAUUCGCUGACGAGUGGCGGACGGGUGAGUAAUGUCUGGGAAACUGCCUGAUGGAGGGGGAUAACUACUGGAAACGGUAGCUAAUACCGCAUAACGUCGCAAGACCAAAGAGGGGGACCUUCGGGCCUCUUGCCAUCGGAUGUGCCCAGAUGGGAUUAGCUAGUAGGUGGGGUAACGGCUCACCUAGGCGACGAUCCCUAGCUGGUCUGAGAGGAUGACCAGCCACACUGGAACUGAGACACGGUCCAGACUCCUACGGGAGGCAGCAGUGGGGAAUAUUGCACAAUGGGCGCAAGCCUGAUGCAGCCAUGCCGCGUGUAUGAAGAAGGCCUUCGGGUUGUAAAGUACUUUCAGCGGGGAGGAAGGGAGUAAAGUUAAUACCUUU
rnacentral:rRNA from 1 species